UUCCCCACACCCCACCCCUGCUUUUUAUGAUUGUAAACUGGGACCAUCAGGGAUGCAGUACAAAAGGUCAAUUGAUGAGCAAUAUGAUCCAGCCCCAAUCCUAACUACAAACAUCACUAAGAAAAUGUCAACACCAAUAUGCAACUAGGUUAGCCUCUCUUUAUAGAGAUCAACAACAUAAAGGUACAAUGGUAUUUUAAAAGUGAAUAUGUUAUCAUGGGUCACUAGGCUACCUGAUGUCUAUCAAACUUUUUAGUCGCCCCACUCAUCAAUGAACACUUCAGGAUGCACUGCAGCAUUGCUGAAAUUCAAAACCCUCUGGAGCUUCCGAUGGUCAAAGACUUCAACAUCAAUCAAGAAGAUUGAGCUAACAGGACGAUGAUCUGAAAGCCUUAUUUCAGCACUUUUGUAAACAAGCUGUCUGAUGCCCUUCCCUAACCAUAGAAUACGAUCGCA